CGGGGCGUGGUCCACUGGUAGGAUGCACGGUUCGGAACUGUGCGGACUGGGUCCGAUUCCCAGCGCCCCGA
rnacentral:tRNA from 1 species